rnacentral:rRNA from 1 species
UGCUUCGGAAUCUGCCCUUCAGUGGGGAAUAACCAGUCGAAAGAUUGGCUAAUACCGCAUACGAACUACGGUUGAAAGCAGGGGAUCGCAAGACCUUGCGCUGAUGGAUGAGCCGAAGUCGGAUUAGCUUGUUGGUGGGGUAACGGCCUACCAAGGCGACGAUCCGUAGCUGGUCUGAGAGGACGACCAGCCACACUGGGACUGAGACACGGCCCCAGG